rnacentral:rRNA from 1 species
UACAGAGGUCUCAAGCGUUGUUCGGAUUCAUUGGGCGUAAAGCGGUGUGAUAGGCGGGCGGGCAAGUACCUUGUGAAAUCCCACGGCUCAACCGUGGAACGGCUGGGUAUACUGCCUGAUCUUGAGCCAGCUAGGGGCGACCGGAACAGGACGGUGGAGCGGUGAAAUGCGUAGAUAUCGUCUGGAACGCCAAAGGUGAAAACAGGUCGCUGGGGCUGAGCUGACGCUGAGACACGAAAGCGUGGGGAGCAAACAGG